GGGAACAUACCCUUUUCUACGGAAUAGCUCUGGGAAACUGGAAUUAAUACCGUAUACGCCCUACGGGGGAAAGAUUUAUCGGGGAAGGAUUGGCCCGCGUUGGAUUAGCUAGUUGGUGGGGUAAAGGCCUACCAAGGCGACGAUCCAUAGCUGGUCUGAGAGGAUGAUCAGCCACAUUGGGACUGAGACACGGCCCAAACUCCUACGGGAGGCAGCAGUGGGGAAUAUUGGACAAUGGGCGCAAGCCUGAUCCAGCCAUGCCGCGUGAGUGAUGCAGGCCUUAGGGUUGUAAAGCUCUUUCACCGAUGAAGAUAAUGACGGUAGUCGGAGAAGAAGCCCCGGCUAACUUCGUGCCAGCAGCCGCGGUAAUACGAAGGGGGCUAGCGUUGUUCGGAAUUACUGGGCGUAAAGCGCACGUAGGCGGAUAUUUAAGUCAGGGGUGAAAUCCCAGAGCUCAACUCUGGAACUGCCUUUGAUACUGGGUAUCUUGAGUAUGGAAGAGGUAAGUGGAAUUGCGAGU
rnacentral:rRNA from 1 species